UUUUUUAAAAGAGAUAUUAAUAAGUUGUUUUGCAUAAGAUAAGUUGUUUUGAAGAAAUAAACUAUUCUAGAUUUUAAUUUUAAUUUGUUAUUUUUUUUAAUAAAAGUGGUUUUAUUCAUUGGAUAAUAAAUAUUUAUUUUGGUUCGGUUUGGUUCGGUUAAUAGGUAAGCAAAUGGUUAACCGAACCAUAACUUAGGUUCAGUUUGGUUACUUCCAAACUUUAAACGGUUCGGUUCAGUUUUCCCGAACCAUUUUAUCAAUUUGGUUC
rnacentral:lncRNA from 1 species